GUCGGCUGUACCAGAAGUCGCUGCGCUAACCGUAAGGAGGCGGGCGCCCAAGGUAUGGUCGAUGAUUGGGGUGAAGUCGUAACAAGGUAGCUGUAGGUGAACCUGCAGAAGGAUCA
rnacentral:rRNA from 1 species